AGUGAACGCUGGCGGUAGGCCUAACACAUGCAAGUCGAACGGCAGCUCAGUAAGGGCUCGCUCUAAAGGGUGGCGAGUGGCGUACGGGCGAGGAAUAAAUGGGUAUCUAAUUUUCCUUGGGGCGGAACGUAAGGAAACUUAAGGUAAGCUAGUACAGCACAAUCGGGUUAAUGCAGGGGUACUUCGUACAUUGGUGCAAUGAAUCAGCUGAUGUCGGAUUAGCUAGUUGGUGGGGUAAAGGCCCACCAAGGCGACGACCCGUAGCUGGUCAGAGAGGAUGAUCAGCCCCACUGGAACUGAGACACGGUCCAGACUCCUACGGGAGGCAGCAGUGGGGAAUAUUGGACAAUGGGCGCAAGCCUGAUCCAGCCAUACCGCGUGGGUGAAGAAGGCCUUCGGGUUGUAAAGCCCUUUUGUUGGGAAAGAAAAGCAGCAGGUUAAUACCCCGCUGUUCUGACGGUACCCAAAGAAUAAGCACCGGCUAACUUCGUG
rnacentral:rRNA from 1 species